rnacentral:rRNA from 1 species
GACAGCAGUAGCCGCGGGAAUACAGAGGGUGCGAGCGUUAAUUGGAUUUACUGGGCGUAAAGCGUGCGUAGGCGGCUUCUUAAGUCGGAUGUGAAAUCCCUGAGCUUAACUUAGGAAUUGCAUUCGAUACUGGGAAGCUAGAGUAUGGGAGAGGAUGGUAGAAUUCCAGGUGUAGCGGUGAAAUGCGUAGAGAUCUGGAGGAAUACCGAUGGCGAAGGCAGCCAUCUGGCCUAAUACUGACGCUGAGGUACGAAAGCAUGGGGAGCAAACAGGAUUAGAUACCCGGGUAGUCCCUGUCUCUUAUAC